ACAGGAAAAAUGAAGAGUAAUGAGGAAAUGAAAGAUUGCAGAGAACAACGAGAGAAUAAAGAGACGCUUUAUGCCCGCUUGGCCUUCAAUCAGGAUCCCACACUUUGAUUGGAGAGCAAGGAGGGAGAGAGAGCUCACAGUCUUCUUCCCUAACACGACGUGUUGCAGACAUUUUCCACCUUGGUCGGGAAAUUCCGAAAAUCCAACCGGUGUAAAUUCAGGUGUAUUCUCGGUGCAAUUUUACGAUGUCGCCAAAAGCGGCAACAGAAUAAUCUCAUAAUGCCAGCUAUUCUAACCAUGAAAUACUGCCUGCAGUUCCACUCCAGCCUCUCCAGCUUUCUGUGAUUUGGAAUUGGCGUUUAUUAAUGCACUCUGCAUCUUUAUUCAGUAUGUCAGCAAGAUAUUAUUCAAACAGGAUUAACAAUGUAUCUUGCUCGAGUUACCAACAUAUUAAAACAGAUUUGAAAACCAA